UUUGCGAGCAGCGCGCGCUGCAGUUUCUCUUCCCGAGCCGCGUCUCGAUGGCCACGCGGCUUUUGCCACGCCGCCUCCCAAGAGCCACGGCUCAGCUUAGCACCUGCAUCAACGGGUGGCAGUCCGGGCAUCAUCAGCCCAGGACUCACACCCCAGUAGAGACCCUUUGACAAGUCCCCCGCUCCGGAGUUGCCUUUUCACGUGCCUCUCUCUUGGCCCAGGCCGCUGCGAUGGAGGAGCAGCGGUCCUUGCUCGGGGGCGCUUCGCCCGUCAAGCAAGCCUGUAGUUGCAAUGGUGCGAAAAAGUUUCAGGAGUAAGAGCUCCUGGUGGCACUGCCGUAGAAAAGGUAGGCUCAGGGAGGCUGAAUCGCACCUGGGGCGCUUAAAAUCCAGGAUCCAGCGUGCCUAAGCGCAGCAACAUCCUUUUCCCGUGUCACAGCAACACUUGACAUAAGAUAAGCCUUAGAGCGGGCUUUUCUGCAUAAGAAGUUUCUUUAUCGCGAAUCCUCACAGUUGUUCAUGAGACAAUGUCGCGAUUCUCCAGCUUCCCUUCUUCUUUUUCCCAGAAGACGUACCCAUUUCGUUUUUUUGGAGUGGAGAAAAUGGGAUUGCAUCUCCUACUGUAUUUGUGCUGUUUUGCUAGAGGACACCUAGAGGCCGUGUAGCAGAAAAACAAGUAAAAAACAGCUUUUCUUUUGAUGGAACUUGAUCUCGUUGCUGCCAUGAGACUGAAAGCAGUAGACCUAGACGGUGCGGAGGGGAUGCUUAUCAAAUAAACAGAUGGCACAAGGCUCUGAGGAUAGCCAGUCCCAUAGAAGACAGAACCAACUUGACAUGCUGUGAUUCAGGGCUGAAAAAAGCAAGAAGAAAUUCAACAUGGAUAAAUGUAAGGUUUUGCAUUUAAUAGCAGAUCAGACUGGAAGCACAUAUGGCAAAACUGAAGCCAGGCACUGGAGAAGACAAUCACACCAGGGGAAGAGUGGAUGUAGUGGAUGUAGGUGGAUGGACCGCAAUGGAAGCCACAGCCUUGAGUUUAGAAGAUGCGAGCAGGGCUAUGAAGCACCAGACACUUUGGAGGGUUUUCCUGUGGGAAUUCAUUGCUGGGUCAUGCUGUACUCACGUACCACACGAAGACCAAGAGUAUUGUAAUUUAUCUAUGUAACCAU